GGUCCCGCCUGCCCUGUGACAAAAGUUUAACGGCCGCGGUAUUUUGACCGUGCAAAGGUAGCGUAAUAACUUGUCUUUUAAAUAGAGACCUGUAUGAAUGGCAUAACGAGGGUCAACCUGUCUCCUUACUUUAGUCAGUGAAAUUAAUCUCCCCGUGCAGAAGCGGGGCUGCCACCAUAAGACGAGAAGACCCUAUGGAGCUUUUAGACGCCAGGGCACAACAAGCUAAGAACCCCUAAUUAAAGGUGAAAGCAAAAUGUACCUGCCCCCGUGUCUUUGGUUGGGGCGACCGCGGAGUAAAAAUUAACCCCCGCGUGGAAAUAGACCACACCUUUUAAUUUUAGAGCUACCGCUCACAGAAACAGAAAAUCUGACCAUACAGAUCCGGCACAACCGAUCCACGGACUUAGUUACCCUAGGGAUAACAGCGCAAUCCCUUCUUAGAGCCCCUAUCGACGAAGGAGUUUACGACCUCGAUGUUGGAUCAGGACAUCCUAAUGGUGCAGCCGCUAUUAAGGGUUC
rnacentral:rRNA from 1 species